rnacentral:tRNA from 2 species
GGUGCCGUGGGCAAAUGGUUAAGCCACCAGGCUUUCAAUCUGGGGAUUGCGGGUUCGAGUCCCGUCGGCACUG